GACGAACGCUGGCGGCGUGCCUAAUACAUGCAAGUCGAGCGAGUCUGCCUUGAAGAUCGGAGUGCUUGCACUCUGUGAAACAAGAUACAGGCUAGCGGCGGACGGGUGAGUAACACGUGGGUAACCUGCCCAAGAGAUCGGGAUAACACCUGGAAACAGAUGCUAAUACCGGAUAACAACAGAUGAUGCCUAUCAACUGUUUAAAAGAUGGUUCUGCUAUCACUCUUGGAUGGACCUGCGGUGCAUUAGCUAGUUGGUAGGGUAACGGCCUACCAAGGCGAUGAUGCAUAGCCGAGUUGAGAGACUGAUCGGCCACAUUGGGACUGAGACACGGCCCAAACUCCUACGGGAGGCAGCAGUAGGGAAUCUUCCACAAUGGACGCAAGUCUGAUGGAGCAACGCCGCGCGAGUGAAGAAGGGUUUCGGCUCGUAAAGCUCUGUUGUUGGUGAAGAAGGACAGGGGUAGUAACUGACCUUUGUUUGACGGUAAUCAAUUAGAAAGUCACGGCUAACUACGUG
rnacentral:rRNA from 1 species